ACAAUAAAACCAUGGUUAAUUUUCGUAAGGGACAUCAGUAUCAAAAUACCGGCAAAUUCGUUGAGAAAGCGGAAGUUACCUGUGGGGCGCGGCAAGCUCAGCGUUGUAUUUGUAAACAAUCCACAUUGUUCAUGUCCACAGUCCGUAUUUUGUUGUUUUCACGUCUGUGGUAAUAGCUGACGGUCGCGAAGUUGCUCGUGACCAAACAACAUUGCAUUAGGCGACGCAAACCGAAAAUGCGUCAGUACUGUUUGCACAUUAGGCUUCACUGGGGGCGUGCUAAGGACGGCAGUUCGGCAAGUAGAUGGUAAGCUGUUUUAAACAACUUUGGUGACGAAAUGUGGACGUAAACUUCAGGUGUGCUCGAGUUUCAAGCAGCGUGUGUGUGAAAACGUCCGUAAACAGUGCGGGGGUAAACGCGUCAUCUGUAUUAAAACGUUAUGAUUGGCUCGAAGCUGUCAGCGCGGUCUGACGUCGUACGUUCUAAAUACCGGUAAUCUAUAUUUUGUGUUCACACAUAGUGCUUACCAGUAAAUUACUGGUAAUCUUACAACCUCUCUUUCUCUUUUUUUUAAUUUACCAAAUUACCAGUAAAGACUGUAUGUGUGAAAGGGACUAGUGACAGCUUUGGUGCCCUUUUUCCAAGAGUCCAGCACAAGAAAUAACAGUGUAGCUCAACUGGUAGAGCAUUGCGCUAGCAACACAUAGGCCAUGGGUUUGAUCUUAAAAACGUAUAGUUUGAAUGCACUGUAAGUCGCUUUGGAUAAAAGCCAAAUGCAUAAAUGUAAAUGAUUUCAAGACAGUGGUUGAGUGUAGCUGGACAGUAAUCUGUGAGAGCUCGGUGCAUCAAUAAAACCCAUGCAGCCAUGCCUACGGGCUGCCCUGCGUUUUAAAGUCCCCUUAAUUAGGCUCUUUUAAAAUGCCUAAUUAUACAUUUAUUGUAGUUCACAAACACACGCAGAUACACUCUUCCACACACAAAUACACCUUCCCUGCCACAAACACAUGCAUAAACAUAUGGGAACACUUAAAUCCAUUUAAUAGCUAUUUACUGUGAUCUGUACUUUUUAUUUAAACACAUUUUCCACUCUGCAAAUGCUAUUUUUUCAUAAAACCGCCUUUUUAAAUUACAUGAUUAUCGUGCCAGCACUUAGAACAUUAGCAGUUACAUCUGCGUGUGAAGUGUGAUGCACUUGUGUACUGGAAAAAGUCAAACAAAAAUUACCUCUGUUAGGCUGGAAGAAGCUGAUGUCAGGCUAUAUCAGCCCCUGCUCUCCUUAGCAACACUAGGCUUGCCCUGAUAAUAAACGAGUCUCUCCCAAUGAGAAAAAAGCCUUUUUGGCAGAGCGUGAAUCAUGCAGUUUUAAUAAACAGUCAUGAGAGCUGGCCAGGCUAAACCUUUGAGGUCAGCGGUAGUUCUGCCAUCUACAGCGAGUCUGAAGUGCUGCAUACUGAGGGCCCUCAAAAAUGAAACCCGACGCCGCGGCAGCACAACGGGACAUGUGUUCACUCUUACUCUAAUGUGAAAAUGGACACUCAUACAUUCAGCUGUGACCUGUUUUAUGGUUUUACACAGUCAUAGAGCCCUAUAACUACUAAUGGGACACAAGCCUGUGCCACACAGCCGUAACACUUAACCAGCUGUUUCACAAGCAGAGAGACAGUGAAUCUUCAAGUGAAACACAAAUUACACUACAGAAUAAAAACAUGGACAAUUUCCAUAAGAAUUCCGACUCUAUAAUCACAACAUGGGCUAUUUGUAUCUGUUUAACUUAUCUAGCAAUAAAUCUAAAUUGUAUCAAACUUCAUUAUCUUCAUUUGUACAUGGUGUAUGAGAUGUAUGGAAAAACUAUGAAUCAUUUUAAAAUGACUUCACAAAGAGCUAGUAAAAUAAUGUUUUGUUUGAGAGGAUGACAGAUACUUUAGGAGGCCUAAAAUGGUCCAUUAAGCAUUUGGUGUUUUGUACUUUGGCAGGAGGAGAACAGCUGGCAGGCUGGGCACUGCUCAUACGGUUGUUAAAGAGAAGAGCUUGUUUUUUUUAAAGCUGUCAUUACCAACACUUUCUGCAUAAAGGGACAUUCCCACUGUUUUUUCAUCAAAAGUUUAUUUGGUAGCCAUGGUAACCUAAUGACAUAGUGGAACACAUGGAUUUCAAGCUGCAAGACAAAAACUCAAAUUCAUGUUGAGCCAAAGAGGUUGUGGACAGAGCCGGUGUGGGGUGAAACACAUGGCCAGCGUUCAGUCAGGUGAAAGUGUCUCCCCCAUGCUGGUGUCUGAAACACCCGUCUCCAGGUCCCACUGUGGCCCCUGCCUGCCAGCUGGAGCCCCCUGACCUCUCCAAUACAACAAGGCCCAGAGUGCAGUCACUGAGCAGGACACAUGAAUGGAUGCACAGGCAAAGCAGGACCCCCUGAAGCUUACUAGCAUUACACAGUUAAAAAAUUACUUGAAUAUAAGAAGAAACAAAUUAAAACACAAAAACAAGUAUAAGCAUGAAAAACUACAUAUACUUCAGUGCUUUAAUGCACAUAUAAGUCAUGAUUCACAGUCUUUGGAUGAUCUUGUCAUUUUCUCAAGGCUUUAAAUGCUUAGCUUUUUUCCUCUCUCAUAAUGGGUUAUUUCAAGAAGUCAACAUUGACUGGAAACGGCAAACCGUAAUGUUCGGUGUAAUUCUGCGAAACGGAUCUGUAGGCAGACAGUCGUAAAUUCCCCUACAUGAAAACCUUUCUUUCCUGUACUGAUAUCUCCCUCUUAGGCCCUAAAUCUUCCCUGCUAACCAUUAGAGCCAAACAGAGGGAUUGCUGACUAAUUGAUAACGUUACGAUUUGAAACAUUCUCAGAGCCCCUAAUUGAAAACAUUAGGGAGGAGGACUGGAGAUGUCUGGGGAACGAGUAGAGGGACUCGAAGGGGGUCUUUGAUCUUGGAGCUUGUCUGUCAUCCUGUUUUCUUUCAAAGUUUGCUGGUUUGUUUCAGUAGAUUCAGGGAGACUCUUGGGGACAGGAUGUUAAUGGAUCACUUAAAAGAGACCUAUUCUUUACGAGAAGGCUAAAGCGUUAUCAGCUGGGUUAAAGACAGUCGGGCCGCAGAGCUGCAUUUAUGGAGUGGAAGGAGGGGGGCUCAUAGAUAACCCUACUGAGUUUUACAGUAGCUUUUUGGCAGGGGAGUAAAUACACUUUUGAGGGAGGAAAAAUUGAAGAAAAGCUUUUCGGCGUUCAGGACCUUGUUUUAAUCAAUUUGUCACAUUGAUGUAAGACCACGGAUGUCUUUACAGAACUGAAGAACAGAUUUGCACUUUCGUUCUCAAAAUUUGUGCUUUUGUGAAUUAAAGUGUUUGAUUUUACCAAAGCUGACAAAAUCUAUAAACACUUUCUUGUUGUAAACAAUGCUUGGUUUUUUAAAUGAUUCAUUUAUUUCUCUUAAAGUGUCACUACAAAGCACUUGAAUGAUAAUUUACUGGAUUCCUCAUAUGUUAUCCAAACAAUCUUGAGGUAAAAUGUCAUGUGUUUCAAAUUGGUCACCCGUUGUAAACAGAGCAGAUGAAAUAACCCCUGUGGACAUGUCCUUGACAGAAAUGGGUUUAUUACCCUAAAACAACACGGUACUGUACCAUGUCAAGCUGUUGUUUAUGUAUAUCUUCUUCCAAUGUUUUACAGAUUCUGUGGUUAGACUUGGGCGAUGAAUAAAGGUUUUUACAGGCUCGUCUUAGGCCGGGCUCACACUACAGGAUUAUCGGCCCAAAUUUACCCCGUUUAUCUCCUCCUGAGAAUCUGUGAGAAAAUCGUGUCCUGGACCUCGAUCGUGUUUGAUGUUCGGCUCAGAUUAUCAUGUAAUGUGUGACGUUUACAGAGUAAAUCUUACUCAUCCCGAUGUGCUCACAAGAAAAUGUAAAAAGUGCAGAUGUAAAAAUGUGCAGAUGAAAAUCUUAAAGGUCCCAUUCUUUCUGUGUUUUUGAAGCUUUGAUUGUCUUUACAGUGCGCAAUAUAACGUGUUCAUGUUUCACGUGUAAAAAACGCAGUAUUUUUCACACAAUUUACUUAUCUGUAGACUGCUGUUUUCAGUGUCCUAAAAACGGGCUGAUGUCUUCCUUGUACUAUGAAGUCCCUCCUUCAGAAAUGCGUAUCGAGUUCUGAUUGUUUAGCUUGUUGAGUGUUUUGUGAUUCGAUAGCAGCUUAGCUUGCCGUUAGCUUAGC